AAGUCGUAACAAGGUUUCCGUAGGUGAACCUGCGGAAGGAUCAUUAAAAAUUUAUAUUCCGGGAAUUCGUUUCGUUUUCCCGGAUUUAUUUGUAUUCAAAUCCCACUCUUUAUUAAAUAUAUUAAUUAUAUAAAACAAAAAUAAAAAAGAAAACUUUCAACAACGGAUCUCUUGGCUCUC
rnacentral:misc_RNA from 1 species